rnacentral:rRNA from 1 species
GAUCAUGGCUCAGGAUGAACGCUAGCUACAGGCUUAACACAUGCAAGUCGAGGGGAAACGAUAUUGGAAGCUUGCUUCCGAUAGGCGUCGACCGGCGCACGGGUGAGUAACGCGUAUCCAACCUGCCCAUCACUUGGGGAUAACCUUGCGAAAGUAAGACUAAUACCCAAUGAUAUCUCUAGAAGACAUCUGAAAGGGNUUAAAGAUUUAUCGGUGAUGGAUGGGGAUGCGU